UAGGGAAUCUUCGGCAAUGGGGGCAACCCUGACCGAGCAACGCCGCGUGAGUGAAGAAGGUUUUCGGAUCGUAAAGCUCUGUUGUAAGAGAGGAACGUGUGUGAGAGUGGAAAGUUCACACAGUGACGGUAACUUACCAGAAAGGGACGGCUAACUACGUGCCAGCAGCCGCGGUAAUACGUAGGUCCCGAGCGUUGUCCGGAUUUAUUGGGCGUAAAGCGAGCGCAGGCGGUUUAAUAAGUCUGAAGUUAAAGGCAGUGGCUUAACCAUUGUUCGCUUUGGAAACUGUUAAACUUGAGUGCAGAAGGGGAGGGUGGAAUUCCAUGUGUAGCGGUGAAAUGCGUAGAUAUAUGGAGGAACACCGGUGGCGAAAGCGGCUCUCUGGUCUGUAACUGACGCUGAGGCUCGAAAGCGUGGGGAGCAAACAGG
rnacentral:rRNA from 1 species